GACGAACCGUGCGAACGUUGUUCGGAAUCACUGGGCUUAAAGGGCGCGUAGGCGGGCUGUCAAGUCUGGGGUGAAAUGCCGCGGCUCAACCGUGGAACUGCCUUAGAUACUGACGGCCUCGAGGAAGGUAGGGGCAUGCGGAACUGUAGGUGGAGCGGUGAAAUGCGUAGAGAUCCGGAAGAACACCGGAGGCGAAGGCGGCUUGCUGGGCAUUGUCUGACGCUGAGGCGCGAAAGCGUGGGGAGCGAACAGG
rnacentral:rRNA from 1 species